rnacentral:rRNA from 1 species
AGCUCCAAUAGCGUAUAUUAAAGUUGUUGCGGUUAAAAAGCUCGUAGUUGGAUUUCUGUCGAGGGCGGGCGGUCCGCACUAUGUGCGUGUAUCUUGUUCGGUCUUGGCAUCCUCUUGGGGAAUGCUUCUGUGCUUGAUUGCAUGGGGUGGAAUUCAAGACUUUUACUUUGAGGAAAUUAGAGUGUUCACGGCAAGCUACCGCUUUGAAUACAUUAGCAUGGAAUAAUAAUAUAGGGCGUAAGUUCUAUUUUGUUGGUUUCUAGGACAUACGCAAUGAUUAAUAGGGACAAUUGGGGGCAUUCGUAUUAACGCGUCAGAGGUGGAAUUCUUAGAUUGCGUUACGACGAACUACUGCGAAAGCAUUUGCCAAAGAUGUUUUCA